AACCGAUAGUGAGGGCACCUCUUUAAUAGGUCUUUGUAUCUCUCCCAUGCAUCAUACAGGGUUUCUAAAUCCAUCUGCACAAAAGAAGAGUUAUCAUUCCUCAACUU
rfam:Gossypium arboreum cultivar AKA8401 contig_53167_1, whole genome shotgun sequence.